rnacentral:misc_RNA from 1 species
UGCCAACAAUGUCAGGUGAGGCAGGAGUCUCUCAAACAAAUGUCUAUAAGAAAGCUUCCUUUGGUUUCUUGUUUCCACAUCAAAAGAUUUGAGCAUUCUUCGAUUAGGAAAAUGUCAAGGAAAGUUGAUCGUUAUUUGCAAUUCCCUUUUUCAUUGGACAUGACACCUUAUCUUUCUUCUUCCAUCUUGAGAAAUCGAUUUGGCAAUAGGAUUUUCCCAUUCGAUGGAGACGAAC